ensembl:lincRNA
AGUGUGAAGAGGAAAAAGACAUAGACUCCGUGCUGAGGGAUGAAGUGCAGUUCAUCGAGGAGAAGCUGGCAGAGAAGCUCGGGCAAGCUGAGGAGCUCAGCUCCCACCCAAGAGACCCGUCCCCAAGGGACUUGCAGUGGAGACGUGAGCUACUACCUGUCAGAGAUGGAGACUUCACUGACACAGCCGGAGCCAAGCACCCUGGUGCCCAAUUGUCUUGGACUACAGCUGGAUCAAGGGUUCGACUGUGGGAAUGGCUUAGCCAGGCAGGGCCCUUCGUCCACCACCUGCAGCUUCACAGCCAAUGCUGAUUCUGGGACCCAAUGUUCCUUUCAAGAGAUGGUUGCGCAGCCCUCUGGCUGGCUGAAGAGCCCUCCGCAGCGGGAAGAUGAUCCCUGCAAAAUCUCAGCUGACAACACACGAGGGCAGCAGCUCAUUGGCAACAUUCAUUCCUCAAGUGUUUUCAAACCGAAGAUGAUUAAAAGAAAAUCCCGGUUCAGCAAGUGGAAUCCCUACCCCUCACACUUGGGCGCAGAGGUAAUCACAUCUAUGACCCUUAGCUGCACUCACUUCUUAUUUCACUCUGUCGAUGGUGACAGCUCGUUCUCCCACUGCUUUUUCUCUUCCAUUUGUUUUCUCCAGCGGCUGCUGUAACCUCUGUCUGGUCUUAACUUUGUGUCCCGUGGUCUUCCACCAUGCAAGGCCUUUUCUGUCCCCAUCUCCUCAUUGCUCUCUGAACUCUGCCCUAUUCUUUAUUCUGCUGUCUUGAGCAUCCCUCUCAUGGUCACAGGAGAGCCAGACCUCCUUGUCCUCAUGCACAUUCACAGUUUAAGCUGCUGAACACAGGGUCCUUUGACUGGAAUUGCAUACUCUCCUGGGAAGUUUACCUUUCCUCCCAGCAUCCCCAACUCCAUUGUCUCUUUCUGCAGGGAGCGUUGCUUUAAUGCAUCAUUUACACAUUGGUUUUUCUCUUGAGUCAGCUUUUGAGCAUCCCGACUGAUUCAACCCUUAACUGUCUCUUGUUCCUCUGAAUGAGAAGUGUUAAAACUGAGCACAACGGUUCCCACUUAGAAAACUAAACUAGAACCAGGUGGGAGUUCCCUACUGGCCUGGAUACACUUUAGUCUUCAGCCCCAGAUGUGUAGCCUUGUGACCUGUCUCUUAUACACAUCUAGAUGUGUAUAAGAGACAGUGUAUAGCAUGUAGACUGAAACUAGAUGAUGGGAUAUGGUUUCUUUAAUUUACACUCAAAUUUUGUGCUCCUUUUUAAAAACAUUUUUAUCUUUUUCAAGAUCUCAUUCCUUUUUAUGGCUGCAUAGUAUUCCAUGGUUCUACAAAAUAUUUUUUUUUAAAUUAACUGGUUGGGUGUGGUGGCACACACCUGUAGUCCUAGCUACUUGGGAGGUUGAGGCAGG